rnacentral:lncRNA from 1 species
CAGCACGCCCGGACUCUGUGGUACGACAGACCCAAAUAUGUUUUCAUGGAGUUUUGCGUUGAGGACAGCACUGACGUCAGUGUGCUCAUUGAGGACCACCGCAUCGUGUUCAGCUGCAGGAAUGGUGAUGGUGUGGAGCUGUACAACGAGAUUGAGUUCUAUGCCAAAGUGAACUCCAAGGACUCCCAGGAUAAGCGCUCUGGUCGCUCCAUUACUUGUUUUGUGAGGAAAUGGAAGGAGAAGGUGCCCUGGCCUCGACUCACCAAGAAGGAUAUAAAGCCCGUGUGGCUCUCUGUGGACUUCGAUAACUGGAGAGACUGGGAAGGAGAUGACGAGAUGGAGCUGGCGCAGGUGGAACACUAUGCAGAGGAUGAUUCUGACAACUAACUAGCUCUCUGUGACAGUGGACCUGGGGAGGAGGCUGUAGCUACCUCCUGUCGUGCUGAGGAGCUAGGAUGGGCUGUCCUUCAACUACUUCCUUGUGCAUCAGGAUCCACAGAGACCUCGGAACUCUUCCAGAAGCUCUCUCUGAAGGGUCCCUCUCCAUGUGUUAGGUCUUCCCCCUGGGCACCUAAGUGUGGUCCUGCAUCAGAUGGGGUGGGGAGCUGACAAGUGGGGCUGCUGACUUCCCACUGAUUUGACUAAGAAUCUGUGCUUGGGAUGCUUGGGUUUUUGGGACACGUGUUUAUAUGUGGUAAAGCAAAGGCCAAAGAAGAAAGAGAUUAUAAUAAAUUCUAGGAAUGAUCCUUCUCUUUCCUUCUUGCACUUUCCCCUCCCUGUGGAAAGCCCCUUCUUUCUCAGAGCUUCUGGCUACUUUUGCAGUGGGAAGAUGUUACACAGACUUCAUCUCACCCAGAUUGGUCCCUGUGACCCCUGGACCUUUAGCUUCCUGUACCUCUGUGGUCAAGAGUAUAUAGUAGUGUUUUUGUUUGUUUGUUUGUUUUCAGAAAAUGAGAGUUUCGUUCUCAGUGCCCACACCAGGUGGCUCACAACCACCUGUAAUUUGGUGCACAUACACAUAAGUAAAAAAUAAAAUAUUUUAGGGCUAGAGAGAUGGCUCAGUGGUUACAUAAAAUAAAUCUUUAAAAAAAUAAAAUAUUCGCAAGGCCCUGGGUUCGGUCCCCAGCUCCGAAAAAAAAAAAAAAAAAAAAGAACCAAAAAAAAAAUAUAUAUAUAU